GCGGCUGUGGCGGAAUUGGCAUACGCGAUAGCUUCAGGUGCUAUUGGGGGAAACCCCGUGGAGGUUCGAGUCCUCUCAGCCGCA
rnacentral:tRNA from 1 species